AAUAAGAUUAUUUUUCGUUUUUUCGUAUCCAAUAUUUGACCAUUCAUCUUAUUUGAAAAAAAUUUACGAUUAAUAUUUUUGUUCUUACUAUAUGAUAAAACAUGAAUAGUACUUUAUGCGUAACUAAUUUUUUAAGUUUUUAUACGAAUUUUUUAAAUAAGAUGAAUGGUCAAACGUUGAACACGGAAAAACA
rfam:Oryza brachyantha chromosome 3, whole genome shotgun sequence.